ensembl:lncRNA
GUAGAAUCCUCUUUCCCUUUGUCUUCACAAAUAAAAUGCCCAAAUAUCCCCUUAAAAAUAUAUUCUGCCAUUUUUUUUCUAGACAUUAAUUGACCUUAACAAAGAGAUUUCUUGCCCUCAAGGUGGAGAGAAGGCCAACAAGUUACUGCAGCUCAGCAUCGUCAUCCUUGCCUCUGAAGCCUCCAGGUGUUUGUGCGUCCCUCUCUCCAGGGAUCCUGUGGACAGUGCUGUGGCUUUCCUUCUCGGGAGGCAUGGAUUCCCACUGGGAGGGUGUCUGGCUCCUCAAAUGAAGCCCUGGAGGUGUCCAAUGAGUCCAGGUCCUCAGCCCUGUCAGACCGGAAACUCAACUGUGUCAAGAUUUUCUUAGUGAGGAGGCUCGUGGAAAUGAGUCCCAGGAUCAGCGGAAGGAUAUAUAAACACAAAGUGGAUUCCCAUUUCUUUGACCAGCAGAGCCUUCCUCCAGCCUUGCCUUGUGUAAACAAGCAAGUAGAGGAAGUUCACCCGAGCGGCUCAGCGUGUCCGGCGAGAGGACCAGGAUGCGGAGGCAGCCACGUAAUAAACAAGGGAUGUUACACGAGGAGCGAGG